rnacentral:lncRNA from 1 species
CGCCACCACACCCGGCUAAUUUUUUUGUAUUUUUAGUAGAAACUUUUGUAUUGUUAGUAGAGAUGGGUUUUCACCAUGUUGGCCAGGCUGGUCUUGAACUUCUGACCUCAAGUCAUCUGCCCACCUCCACCUCCCAAAGUGCUGGGAUUAUAGAUAUGAGCCACCACACCUGACCUCAUUUCUUAUAUUCUUUCAUCCAUCCAUUCUCCAACUACCAAUCCACGCAUGCACACAUGCAUGAUUUGCUCCAUCCAUCCACCCACACAUACACACAUCUUUUCAUCCAUCACUCCUCCACUAUCUGUGUAUCUACUCAUCCACCAUCUACUCUUACACUUAUCCAUCCAUGCAUGGAUUCAUCCAUCUGUCCAUGUUACAAACAUUUAUUGAGCAAUACACCAGACAUCAUACUAGGCUCUGGGAGUAGACUGAUGAGCCCUCAGGGUGCUUCCAGUCUACUGGGGAGACAGAAAGGCCAAUAAACAAGUACGGGGUGAUAAGUUCUCUGAUUAGGUAGAGUGAGGGGAGAUGCACGAGGAACAAGCAAAGGCACCUUGCUCAGACCUGGGCACCUAGGAAGGCUUCCCACAAAAGCUGCAUCUGAAGGAUGAAUAUGAGGUGGACAGGCAAAGGAAUGGGGACAGGCAAACAACAUGUGCGGCAAAGAGACCAGCCCAUGCAAAGACACAGAGCUGCAAGAUAAACAGCUCACCUGGAAUGCAGCAUGUGAAGCGAGGAGAGGGCUUGGGACACCUGCUGUCCUG